GUAGACAAAGAAGAGAAAGACAGCAGUGCAGAAGAUAGCAGCAGGGAUCAGAGAUUGAAUUAUAAUUGCUCUCAAAACAUCUUCUAGGUCUACAGAGCAAGAAAGCAGCAGGUGUCGGCACACCUACUCCACUACUUCGUGAGAUCUCUCUUCAGCUAUUUUAUUGUUUCGCCCUAUUACCUGUCAUGGUGUUUUACUUUUGACUUUCCGGGAGGAAUUCUUGCAAAUUUUAACGCUAACAGAGUCCACGAUGGCUCUAACAGAUUCACUUUUUAGGUUUUAAGUUAGAUAAGCUUCAAAAUACAUCUAAUCCCCCCCUCCCCCAUGAAAUCGGAAAGGGAAAUGUGGGUUCAGGGCACUCCCACCCCUUAACUUUUGGCCUUGAUUUUGCAAAUUUAAUAUGUCUGCGUAGAAACUACUUAUUUAAAUAUUCUCACCCACGUGACAAUGUUUUUCCUCUCUCUCUUUGUGUUUCUAAGGUACAGCUUAAUCUGGGAGAGAUUACGUCAGCGCCAGCGGUUACAGUAACUACCGUAUUGACGCUACUUGUUUUCAUAGGACAAACAGGGAAGUGCUGAGUAAGAACAGUUCACACUCUGGCCAUUCUUCUUCUUAUUAUUUUUGGUGACAAUGCAUUCAGUUAUGUUGACGCCAGGUGCCUGAGAGCUAGGAUUAAAAAAAAAAAAACAAAACGCUAUUGUUUCAUUUCUUAGAUUAAAGCGGAGCAUAAGGCUCAAAACACACUGCCCUCCUACUCUUUAAAGAUCCAAACUACGCAGGACCAGGAAGCGUUUAGAGCACUGGUGCGCUUGCGCGGCCUGUGACCCGGGAGGGGGUGGUGGUUCAAGUCUCCUGCCUUUCCGCUUGCGACCAGCAGGCGGCGCUGCGGGCUAAUGCAGCCGCGUCUCCCCGGGGCUCUUGGAAAGAGCGUCAAAGGGCGGGAGGUGAAGGCGGCUGAUGGACGUUCUAUCCCCGACCGCCCUGGUCUCUAUCACCCUUUGUCCUCCAGCCUCCCCCGGGCUCUCGGCCUGCGGGCCUGGUUGCUAGGCGGAAGCGGGGCGCGGCGGCGUCCGCUGCGGCUGCCCGGGCGUUUGAAUAGCGGCUUAGCAGGCGGCAAAAAGGUGCGGGGCUGGCGGGCUUGUGGGGCGGCAGGGCCGGGCAGCGGAGCGGCAUUCGCCGAGCCGGGGCUGGGUUAGGGCCUGGGCGGCGGGCCGGGGAGCGGGGCCGGCCUGCGCACCUCAACUCGGCUUCUUUCCUGCAGACCCUGCCGCCGCGACCAUGGUCCCCAAGUCCGACCAACUGCUCAUCGUCGUAUCCAUCCUCGAAGGUGAGCGGCCUCGGGGUUUAAAAAAAAUUUUUUUUGCAACUGCUGCUUCCCGAGCUUCAGCAGAAUAAUGUGUAACCGGGGCUUUGUUAACCUUACGAACCCUGUCAUCUCUGCUUUUGUGGUCCCCGAAGACUUGUUUCAGUUGCACGGAGCGAGGUCUGUUAGGCAAUUGAUUUAAACAUCUCUCCGGGGAACGUGAGUGCUAUUAGGGAUAAGUGAUAUUUAGCGUGACUUAGCCGUAGCCCCAGAGAAUGUAGAAAAAAACCGAUCUCCAUCACAAGCAGCCUGUCGAUGGCUUUUAUAUCCGAGCUAAAAGUGCCUGCAAAGCAAGUUCUGUUCCGCAGUCCCCGCUAAUGCCAUUUGUAAGAACUUUGCCAUUGACUUUAAUACAAGCUUUGUACCAUUCCGGAUCUGUUGCCGAGACUGUCCCCUUUACAUGUCUCCAUGGCCUACCGCGGGUGCUAACCGUGGUUAAGGUGUACUAAAUGAUCCUUGCGUGUUUGUUGAGCGAGUGACAUUUGUUUAUCGGGGACUUACUGAAUGCCAGGCACUGGCCUGGCAAGGCAGGUGGCUCUGGGUCUAGAAGCUUAGGGAGGAAGUUAAGUGGGCAGCGCGUCAAGCUGGGAUGACCACCUCUUUUGGGGAACGGUUUCCUGAGGAGAUGGCAGCUAUGUGGAUCUUAGAGCUAAUUGGGAAUGGGUCAGAUGACAGAGGCUGGACAGAUGGAUGGUCUAGCUGCAAAAAGCACUUAAGGUGUGGAAAAAGAAGCUCUGCUUUGCUCUCAGACUCAUUCAACAAAUGUUGCCUCGAUUUAUCCUAGUUAGCUGAUGGCAGCAAAGAGGGGUUUCAUAAACUGGAACAGGUUAUCAGUGUGAGGAUUCUUGAGUGUUUAGCCACAGGUAUUGAUUGCUUCAACCCCUCUCCCCUCAGGAGAAGUCUGAUAGUGUUUGAGGAGAGGGAAGAAAGG
rnacentral:lncRNA from 1 species